GUUCGUUUCUGAGUAAGGU
rnacentral:miRNA from 1 species